UAAGAUGUAGAGGGUACAGACAGAGGGAUCUGUAUGUGCAAAGAUUCGGAGGUGAGACUGACCUGAGAACAUUCAGGAAAAUUCUCAUUCUUCCACUGCAUGAAGAGAGGAGUCCUUCCUCUAUUCAUUGGCUGAAUGUGCUGGGAGUCGUAGAAAUUUUUGAAUAGAAGCGGAAUAUCCAUUGUCUGGAUUUAGGAUUUUGAAAGUAUUCCAAUGAAUACCAAGUAAACAUACUGAGUGAACACACCGGUGGGAGAGGGGUUGUGGCCAGGGGUUGUGAGGAUGCUGCUGCAAUAUUCUUCCAGACAGUUAUGAUGAUGGCCUGUCCAGGGUAGAAGUAGGAGAGGUGAGAGAAGUGAUCAGAUUUCGGUUAGAUUUUCAAGAUGAAGUUAAUGGGAUUUCCUGCUACAUGUGAACGUAAGUGGUGGAUAAAAGACCAUCCCGAGUGUUUAGGAAGAAUGAGAUAUUGUACAUGGAGAUGGGAGUUUGGCAAGAGGAGGAUAUUUUGGGGAAGAUUAGCAGUUGGAUUUUGUAGAUGUGGACUUCUAAGUGGAAGUGACUACGUGCCAUGGACACAUAGGGAGUUUUGGUUUGGCCUCCGAUCUCCAGGUUGCAGUUCACUGGUGGCCUGGACCAAGGAAGGGUCUGAGAAUGGCAUUUUGGAAGGAGAGUCUUAGGUUGUGGUUGCAGAUAAGUGGCCCUGAGGUGAGUGUGGGGUGUCCAGGAUAAGGACCAGUGGCCGGGUGGAGGAGAUGGGUGCAGAAAAGGAGAAGCACUGUCCAAAGAUCAAUGGAUCCGGGGAGAGGGCACAUCCAGGAGGAGGGCCCACCCUUUCAGAUAUGAGAGGGUAAGCAGGCAUGUCAGGGGACAAGGUUGGGAGACAUAAAGGGAGGUGGCCGCAGGACAGAGACUGGGGUCCCAGGUCCCAUGCCCAGUGCUUAGGUUGCAUCCAUCUGCUCCCUGGCCUGCUAUAGCAAGGCCCAGUGACUUUUAAGAAGGUCACAUACUGCUUUCAGAAAAAGUGGGUCUCCUUCAUGAGACACGGUAGGGCUACUACCAUGACAUGGUGCUGUCCUCACCAGGUUAGGCCACUGUGUUCCCCAUGGGGUAUGCGGCUGGUCCUGGUGCUGGCCCAUGUCUUGAUACAUCUUCUCCCAGACUGCUGUAUAAACAACUCCAGUAUCUUUUAGGUCAAGGGUCAAAAGUAUCACAACUUGCAUAGCAGAUCACAUCCAGCUUGGUUAUUAUCUGGCCAAGUGACCCAGUUGAGGUGUGUUGCUUUUCUUUCUCCUCUGUCACACUUCCUCAUUCCAGCAGGUUUUCUGCCAGCUGCCCCUUGUCAGCCCCUGUGAUGGCACAUGGACACAGACACGAUCACUGAUUGUGGGGACAAUGCACCUUUCCCCUGAGAUCUUUCCUGGUUGUUCAUUUUGUGAGGUUCAGUUCUCCAGAUGCAUAAGUGAUCCUUAUCCACCUCAGUCUGUCAUGGGUGAAUCAUGACAGACCUGGGGCUGGCCUCUCACAAGCCACUUGACCCCUCAUGACUGCCUGCACUACCACCAAUGUGGUCACCCAAGGUGAACAUGGCCAGAAGACCUGGACAGGGCAGCUUGAAUCAGUCCAUGACCAGAGAGGCCCAUGGAGGACCAGUUCUGGUCAGUGCAAGACUGGUAGGGGAGGGCCUGUGGCAGCGGGCUUGUUUCUCACCUGGUACCUGACCUGUGCCCUCUCUUACCCUGGUGCCAAAGUGAGUAGCCAUGCCUCUUUUCUGUCAUUCUGGAACUUCAUUCUACUUUCCCUUGACUCAUAUUUCCUGGCUGAUCGCUCUGUAUCCUUUUCCUCUCAGCCUUUCGCCUUCUCCCCUUUUAUGGUCAGAUCCUCCACCAUUGGCCUCCCCUUAACAUGUUCUGAGCUGAUACGUAUCCUUAAGUAGUUCUUGAAAGGGUGCCUGCGUAGCUCAGUCGGUUGAAUGUCCAACUCUUGAUUUCAGCCCAGGUCAUGAUCCCAGGGUCAUGGGAUCAAGCCCCCAUCUGGGUCCAUGCUGAGUGUGGAGCCUGCUUGAGAUAUUCUCUCUCUCUCUCUCUCUCUCUCUCUCUCUCUCUCUCUCUCUCUCUCAAAAAUUUUUUUAAGGAAAAAGAAAGUUUAUCUCUUCAUGGGACUGCUUGCUUCCUCUAAGGAAGGUGGAUAUAAUGUCAGUGGCUGGACCACCCUCACUGCAUAGCACCUGCCUGUCACCAGACACCGAGGCCCUUUUGCAGAACUCACAGAGAACUGACACUGAAGAGACACCCAGUAAACACAUGAAUGGGAAAAAAAUCCCAAGUACAUUGGGAAGAUGGGAAGGCCUUCACCUUUGUCUCCAUUCUGAGAAAGCAGAAGUACAUUCAUGUCUUCAAAUGUCAUGAUUGUUGUAAUGUGAGAAAGCCUCCAGCCAGAGCUCUAUUCCUUUUGAGAAUGAGAAUGUUUGCCCCUUAGAAAACACUCAUUAAGGCAGGGAGUGUGGCCCAGCCUUGAGCAAACAUUUGCAUUUCCCCUUGCACCAAAGGAGUCAAGUGCCGAGAAUGUGGGCAUCUGCAUUCAGAGCUCUAUUCUUGUUAGCACCAAAAGAUUCAUGCCAGAGAACAGUUGUACAAAUGCAGUAACCACCUGAAAGCUCUCAGGAAAAUUGAACCUCUUUCACACAGUCCCCACUGGAGAAAGGCAUAAGGAGUGCAGCUGGUGUUGGAUAGCCUCCUUGCCCAGAUUUAAUCAAGUUUUGCAGCAGCAAGUUACUGCAUUGUGAGUGUAGUGAGUAGGAGAGCAAAGCAGCUCCUGCUGGGUCCUGCAUAGAAAUAUUCACACUGGAGAAAGCUCCUGUGUGUACAGCUGGUAUGGGAGACUCAGCCACAGCUCCUGCCCACCAACCAGCACAAAACCUUCACUAGUGAAAAGCCAUUUUAGGAGCAGUGAAUUUAGUAAAGUCUUCAGCUGCCCCCGCCCCCCCCUUUUUUUUUUUAACAUUUUCUUUUAAAUGAUGUUUUAAAAACUUCAUUCAAUAUAAAAGAAUUAACACCUGAAAAAUACCAUAUA